UACGUAGGGUGCAAGCGUUAAUCGGAAUUACUGGGCGUAAAGCGUGCGCAGGCGGUUGUGCAAGACCGAUGUGAAAUCCCCGGGCUCAACCUGGGAAUGGCAUUGGUGACUGCACGGCUAGAGUGUGUCAGAGGGGGGUAGAAUUCCACGUGUAGCAGUGAAAUGCGUAGAUAUGUGGAGGAACACCGGAUGGCGAAGGCAGCCCCCUGGGUCAAGACUGACGCUCAUGCACGAAAGCGUGGGGAGCAAACAGG
rnacentral:rRNA from 1 species